rnacentral:rRNA from 1 species
GACGAACGCUGGCGGCGUGCUUAACACAUGCAAGUCGAACGAGUGGCGAACGGGUGAGUAAUACGUGAGUAACCUGCCCUCUUUUUGGGAUAAGCCUUGGAAACGGGGUGUAAUACAGAAUAAAGGGGGAUGGGCUCGCGGGCUAUCAGCUUGUUGGUGGGGUGAGGGCCUACCAAGGCGGUGACGGGUAGCCGGGCUGGGAGGGUGACCCGCGAAAUUGGACAUGGGAAACGGCCCAGAGUCAUGCAGGAGGCGGGAGUGGUGGAUAUUGGGCGAUGGGCGGAAUCCUGAUGCAGCGGCGCGGGGUGAGGGUUUACGGCUUGCAGGUUGUAAUCAUCUGUCACGAACGAAGGGGUAGGUGGAGAAGAAGCGCCGGCUAACUACGUGCCAGCAGCCGCGGUAAUAC